rnacentral:misc_RNA from 1 species
GCAAACUUGGUCAUUUAGAGGAAGUAAAAGUCGUAACAAGGUUUCCGUAGGUGAACCUGCGGAAGGAUCAUUAUUGAGUUUUACUGUUGGGGACUGUGCUGGCCCCCCCCAGGGCAUUGUGCACGUCUCCUUCACUUUCCACACCCCAUGUGCACAACAGUGGGUGGUGGCCCUCCCAGAUGGGGGAGGCCGCUUGCCCCUUUUAACAUGCGCUUUUUUUUAUGUAACUGGGAUGUCUAUUUUUUAAAUGGAAACAACUUUCAACAACGGAUCUCUUGGCUCUCGCAUCGAUGAAGAACGCAGC